rnacentral:rRNA from 1 species
GGUGGCCUACGGGACGCAGCAGUGAGGAAUAUUGGUCAAUGGUCGGGAGACUGAACCAGCCACGCCGCGUGAGGGAUGAAGGUACAGAGUAUCGUAAACCUCUUUUGUCAGGGAACAAAGGCGGGGACGCGUCCCCGGAUGAGUGUACCUGAAGAAAAAGCAUCGGCUAACUCCGUGCCAGCAGCCGCGGUAAUACGGAGGAUGCGAGCGUUAUCCGGAUUUAUUGGGUUUAAAGGGUGCGGAGGCGGUCUGUUAAGUCAGCGGUCAAAGCCCGGGGCUCAACCCGGCCCGCCGUUGAAACUGGG